rnacentral:lncRNA from 1 species
UCUCCUCUAACUUUCUUCUUUAUUCUACUGCCCAUUAUCUUGCUAAUUCCAGCUCUCUGAUUAUGGCUAACUCAUCCUCCAUUUCCAUCUCAAAUAUUCAACUCCAACACUUAACUCACAUCACAGAUUACUUGAAUACUCUCCAAAAUUACACUAACCUGUAAGUAAUUUUCCUACGUUAUGUGGCCCAAUAAAAUUUCUAUAAUUAAUAUUUAAUUAAUGAGCAAAUCUCAUUCGUCCGAUUGGUUACUUGAUUGACGUACCAGAUUAAGUGAGAAUCUCUAUAAAUUGGUCCUCCCCCAUUAGGGUUACUGCUGUUUUCCUCUCUUCCAUCCUUAAAGUUGGCGGUAACGAAAGCUAGGGCAAGGGGCGAGAAAUCAAUUACCGAUUAACGCUUCCGCUUAAAGAUGAUGACUCACGAUUCAGGUAUGUUUUCUA